GAAACUUUCUGGUUUGAUUUUCACCUUCCUCCAUCCCAAAAGAGGGGUGCUGUAACUAGGAGAUGUAAACAGGCCUCAUGGACCUACUCAUUCUGAGUUUUCCUCAAUUUUCUUAGCCCAGAUCUUCAGUCUCAAGUUGUACCAGUUUGUUCAAAGAAAGGAGAAAGACGCAGAGAACCCUGAAGGGAGGAGCCGGCAAACAGGUUAAGUCACUUAAACCAGAAGACUGUCCCCCACUGGAUUUGUAUGAGAUCACAUGUUGUUCACAUGACUGCUGAAUGUGGCCAGAUUGUGCCUUGUUGUUCAUUCCAUUAGAGAAGAGUUGAGUCACAGGCUAAUAUUUAACAAUCAGAUUUCAUACUGAAACCCAAAUUUCCAGCUUCUUAAAAAGAUCUUAUUUUCCAUCCUCACCGCAGAACAGCUGCUGCUCAGGAAGGUUUGCCUUGUAAAACUUCUUUAAUUCCACGAGGAUGUUUGCUUUGGUUCAAUCCCACUUCUUACGCGAUAAAUAGGAGCAUAUGCAACACUAAGCACGCUAUUACAGGGUUUCUUUGUGUUUAGCAAGGAAGGCAGGCAGCAGAGCAAGCAAUGGGCCCCCACUUGCACUUGUCACGGGCCCAUAGGAGCCACGAGGACAGGUUUCGUUCUGCUCCACAUUUCUCUCCACUCUGAGCCCCAGACCACUGCGGGCCAGUGGAGUAGACCCGCAGUCCAAGGGACUGCAUGUCCCAUAUCACCUUCACCUAGGGGACAAUGGGCAGUCGGACAAGUUGAGAGAGCAAUCGGGCUGGAGAACACGGACGGAGACGCCGCCAAGCCCCGCCCCGCCCUUCGGGAGCAGUCUAGCGACAACUGGACCGUCUCGCAUCGUCCCUCCUCCCACACAUCUCUCACCUGGAGCCCAAUCUCCACCUCCUCUCCCAGGUCAGCACCCCCGGGUGACUAUCUGUGGAUACUUCAGUGUGUACCCCUAGCAGGGGAGUGUCAGAAAAUAACCACUGCAACACCGACAUCGCAUGCAAAAAACCCCGACAAACUCCUAAAAUCAGGAACACCUAAAAGCCUGUUGGAGCCCCACUGGCUCGGAAUGUCGUUUCCUGUCGGCUGGACUGCAGCCCCAUCCAGGCAAGGCCUCCUCUCCCGGGUCAGGGACUCCAAAGGCCGGGCGGGCCUCUCCUCCAGGCGGCACCGGACGCGCCUAAGGCCCCUGCACGCCAGAAGGGCUCUCACACCGACACCCGCCCAGCCUGGGUCUCGAGAAGUGCCCGUCGGCCCCUGGGCUCCGACUUUCCCGCCUUGCGCGGACCCCGAGUCCGGACGCCCCGGGGGACCCAAUCUUCCAGAUCUGGGGCCCGCCCUCCAACCGUCCAGAUCUGGGACACAAGCCCCGGCGCAGGCCAGCAGAACUCUAAGCAGUAUCUGCAAAAGAAGGCGUCACUCCACGCUUACUCUCCACUCCGCCGUGCCGCGUGUACUGGGAGCGGGGCGUAGGCGCGCGCAUGCGCACUGGGUGUAAACCGC
rnacentral:lncRNA from 1 species